rnacentral:rRNA from 1 species
CGGACGGGUGAGUAACACGUGGAUAACCUACCUAUAAGACUGGGAUAACUUCGGGAAACCGGAGCUAAUACCGGAUAAUAUUUUGAACCGCAUGGUUCAAAAGUGAAAGACGGUCUUGCUGUCACUUAUAGAUGGAUCCGCGCUGCAUUAGCUAGUUGGUAAGGUAACGGCUUACCAAGGCAACGAUGCGUAGCCGACCUGAGAGGGCGAUCGGCCACACUGGAACUGAGACACGGUCCAG